rnacentral:rRNA from 1 species
UCGAGGGGCAGCAUUUUUAGUUUGCUUGCAAACUGAAGAUGGCGACCGGCGCACGGGUGAGUAACACGUAUCCAACCUGCCGAUAACUCCGGGAUAGCCUUUCGAAAGAAAGAUUAAUACCGGAUAGCAUACGAAUAUCGCAUGAUAUUUUUAUUAAAGAAUUUCGGUUAUCGAUGGGGAUGCGUUCCAUUAGUUUGUUGGCGGGGUAACGGCCCACCAAGACAACGAUGGAUAGGGGUUCUGAGAGGAAGGUCCCCCACAUUGGAACUGAGACACGGUCCAAACUCCUACGGGAGGCUGCAGUGAGGAAUAUUGGUCAAUGGGCGAGAGCCUGAACCAGCCAAGUAGCGUGAAGGAUGAAGGCUCUAUGGGUCGUAAACUUCUUUUAUAUGGGAAUAAAGUAUUCCACGUGUGGAAUUUUGUAUGUACCAUAUGAAUAAGGAUCGGCUAACUCCGUGCCAGCAGCCGCGGUAAUACGGAGGAUCCGAGCGUUAUCCGGAUUUAUUGGGUUUAAAGGGAGCGUAGGUGGAUUGUUAAGUCAGUUGUGAAAGUUUGCGGCUCAACCGUAAAAUUGCAGUUGAAACUGGCAGUCUUGAGUACAGUAGAGGUGGGCGGAAUUCGUGGUGUAGCGGUGAAAUGCUUAGAUAUCACGAAGAACUCCGACUGCGAAGGCAGCUCACUAGACUGUCACUGACACUGAUGCUCGAAAGUGUGGGUAUCAAACGGGAUUAGAUACCCUGGUAGUCCACACAGUAAACGAUGAAUACUCGCUGUUUGCGAUAUACAGUAAGCGGCCAAGCGAAAAGCAUUAAGUAUUCCACCUGGGGAGUACGCCGGCAACGGUGAAACUCAAAGGAAUUGACGGGGGCCCGCACAAGCGGAGGAACAUGUGGUUUAACUCGAUGAUACGCGAGGAACCUUACCCGGGCUUAAAUUGCAACAGAAUAUAUUGGAAACAGUAUAGCCGUAAGGCUGUUGUGAAGGUGCUGCAUGGUUGUCGUCAGCUCGUGCCGUGAGGUGUCGGCUUAAGUGCCAUAACGAGCGCAACCCUUAUCUUUAGUUACCAACAGGUCAUGCUGAGGACUCUAGAGAGACUGCCGUCGUAAGAUGUGAGGAAGGUGGGGAUGACGUCAAAUCAGCACGGCCCUUACGUCCGGGGCUACACACGUGUUACAAUGGGGGGUACAGAAGGCGGCUACCUGGUGACAGGAUGCUAAUCCCAAAAACCUCUCUCAGUUCGGAUCGAAGUCUGCAACCCGACUUCGUGAAGCUGGAUUCGCUAGUAAUCGCGCAUCAGCCAUGGCGCGGUGAAUACGUUCCCGGGCCUUGCA